AACGAACGCUGGCGGCAGGCUUAACACAUGCAAGUCGAGCGCCCCGCAAGGGGAGCGGCAGACGGGUGAGUAACGCGUGGGAAUCUACCCAUCUCUACGGAAUAACGCAUGGAAACGUGUGCUAAUACCGUAUACGUCCUUCGGGAGAAAGAUUUAUCGGAGAUGGAUGAGCCCGCGUUGGAUUAGCUAGUUGGUGGGGUAAAGGCCUACCAAGGCGACGAUCCAUAGCUGGUCUGAGAGGGUGAUCAGCCACACUGGGACUGAGACACGGCCCAGACUCCUACGAGAGGCAGCAGUGGGGAAGAUCGGACAAUGGGCGCAAGCCUGAUCCAGCCAUGCCGCGUGAGUGAUGAAGGCCCUAGGGUUGUAAAGCUCUUUCACCGGUGAAGAUAAUGACGGUAACCGGAGAAGAAGCCCCGGCUAACUUCGUGCCAGCCGCCGCCGUAAAAC
rnacentral:rRNA from 1 species